ACGCAAACGAAUUAUAUUUGAAUUAUAUGCCAUGAAUAUGAUUUAUGUGUUAUGAGUCAAAUUUCCUAAGACAAAACAUAGAGAUUCAUAAAAUAAGGUUAUGGGUCAAUGUGAAAAUAUUAUUGGGUACUUAUUUGAAGAGAAUGUUUUGUGAGGGUUCAUUAGAUAAUUAGAUCACCCCUUUUCUAGACAAUUCCAGACGUGGAAGGAAGAAAAUAAUAACAGCCCCCACCCUCUCAUUCCUUCCAACAUCCUACGUCUCUCACUCCUCUCAAGAAGAAAAUCAAGAAGGCUUCCCCCUCUUCUACUUCUAGGGUUUUGGUUCUAGGGUUCAAUCAAGUUAUUGGAGCAAGAUUCAAUCUUAAAUCCAUCUCUCACACAAGUGUUUGAAGCUCUCUCAAUCCAUGGUUUAAACCUAAAAGAGGAUUUGGUGAUCAAGCGAAGGAUACAAGGGGUACAAGUUGAUGUUUAGUUGAAGUGCAAAGGAAGGUGAUGAAGUACAAUAGUUUAUAGGUGCAAUAUUUUGUGCAAGUUUGGGCUUCAUGGCAUCGUUUUGCAUAUAGAAUGGAAGUAGAAAGAAGACUUGUAUUUUUGGACGUGUUUGUACUUGUUUCCCUUAUGAUCAAGGGUGUAUAUAUUUUUGCAAAGUGAUGUACAUAAGUUAUGUAUGUUAUGGAUGUUCAUGCUAAUGUAAUUAUGAUAUCAUGAAAAUUAUCAAUGUAUGGAUGCUCUAGACCAAA